rnacentral:rRNA from 1 species
AGAGUUUGAUCCUGGCUCAGGAUGAACGCUGGCGGCGUGCCUAAUACAUGCAAGUCGAACGAGGUGCCUUUGUAGCAAUACGAAGGUAUCCUAGUGUCGAACGGGUGAGUAACGCGUUGGUGACCUACCCCAAAGUGUGGGAUAACAGAUCGAAAGAUCUGCUAAUACCGCAUGUGGUCUUCGGAUUUAGAAACUGAUGACUAAAGGAGCAAUUCGCUUUGGGAGGGACCUGCGUCCCAUCAGCUAGUUGGUGAGGUAAUGGCUCACCAAGGCUACGACGGGUAGGGGACCUGAGAGGGUGGCCCCCCACAAUGGAACUGAAACACGGUCCAUACACCUACGGGUGGCAGCAGUAGGGAAUAUUGCACAAUGGGCGAAAGCCUGAUGCAGCAACGCCGCGUGUGCGAUGAAGGCCUUCGGGUCGUAAAGCACUUUUCUGAGGGAUGAGCAAGGACAGUACCUCAGGAAUAAGUCUCGGCUAACUACGUG